rnacentral:rRNA from 1 species
UACGAAGGGGGCUAGCGUUGUUCGGAUUUACUGGGCGUAAAGCGCGUGUAGGCGGGUCGUUAAGUUGGGGGUGAAAUCCCGAGGCUCAACCUCGGAACUGCCUUCAAAACUGGCGACCUGGAGCAAAGAAGAGGCAAGUGGAAUUGCGAGUGUAGAGGUGAAAUUCGUAGAUAUUCGCAGGAACACCAGUGGCGAAGGCGACUCGCUGGUCUUUUGCUGACGCUGAGACGCGAAAGCGUGGGGAGCAAACAGG